GCUGCCUGACCAGGUGUGCACUGAAAGCCUACCCUGGUUGGUGGACAUGGAACAGACUGAGGCCAUAAGAAGGACUUCCUGGCUGACCAGAAAUACUGUUGAAUCUUCCUGUUAAUGGAAUUAGGAAGAGAGGAUGGAGAGAGAAGGAAGGAGGGAGAGACCAUGAAUGGCGGCCCCCAGAAGAGAUACCAAAAAGAAGAAUGUACUUCAUCUGGUUGGGCUGGAUUCCCUCUGAUAAGCCUUCCCAGUUGACUGAAAGAUGAGGCUAGGCUCUAGCAAGUUGAAGUCAAACCAGCUCCUUCAAGAAGCUUUGAGCAGAAUGAAGUGGGGAGGACCCAGCUUCCAGCCCAGGAAGCCCACUGUACCUGGAGCCAUCUGGGAUAAGACUUUGACCCAUGACUCCCAUAUCCACAGCCUGUCCAUCCUAGCCCAUCCCAGUUUAUCCUGUAUCAUUUGAGCUGGGAUUCCCACAUCCUCUGAGUUGGAAGUCCCAUCUCAAGUCUUCAAUAAAGACUCUUGAAUAUUGAA
ensembl:lncRNA MIR9-1HG MIR9-1 host gene